GACGAACGCUGGCGGCGUGCUUAACACAUGCAAGUCGAACGGAAAGGCCCUGCUUUUGUGGGGUGCUCGAGUGGCGAACGGGUGAGUAACACGUGAGUAACCUUCCCUUGACUUUGGGAUAACUUCAGGAAACUGGGGCUAAUACCGGAUAGGCGCUCCUGCUGCAUGGUGGGGGUUGGAAAGUUUCGGCGGUUGGGGAUGGACUCGCGGCUUAUCAGCUUGUUGGUGGGGUAGUGGCUUACCAAGGCUUUGACGGGUAGCCGGCCUGAGAGGGUGACCGGCAACAUUGGGACUGAGAUACGGCCCAGACUCCUAAGGGAGGCAGCAGUGGGGAAUAUUGAACAAUGGGCGGAAGCCUGAUGCAGCAACGCCGCGUGCGGGAUGACGGCCUUCGGGUUGUAAACCGCUUUCGCCUGUGACGAAGCGUGAGGGAAGGUAAUGGGUAAAGAAGCACAGGCUAAAUAAGUG
rnacentral:rRNA from 1 species